AUUGAACGCUGGCGGCAGGCCUAACACAUGCAAGUCGAGCGGAUGAAGGGAGCUUGCUCCUGGAUUCAGCGGCGGACGGGUGAGUAAUGCCUAGGAAUCUGCCUGGUAGUGGGGGAUAACGUCCGGAAACGGGCGCUAAUACCGCAUACGUCCUGAGGGAGAAAGUGGGGGAUCUUCGGACCUCACGCUAUCAGAUGAGCCUAGGUCGGAUUAGCUAGUUGGUGGGGUAAAGGCCUACCAAGGCGACGAUCCGUAACUGGUCUGAGAGGAUGAUCAGUCACACUGGAACUGAGACACGGUCCAGACUCAUACGGGAGGCAGCAGUGGGGAAUAUUGGACAAUGGGCGAAAGCCUGAUACAGCCAUGCCGCGUGUGUGAAGAAGGUCUUCGGAUUGUAAAGCACUUUAAGUUGGGAGGAAGGGCAGUAAGUUAAUACCUUGCUGUUUUGACGUUACCAACAGAAUAAGCACCGGCUAACUUCGUG
rnacentral:rRNA from 1 species